CACAAAAAAGGAAUCAAUUCUAAUCUGAAUCACACCUCUCUAUGUGCGUUUCACCUUUUUGUGUCUUUCGCCUCUUUACAAUGGUUUUAAAUUGCAUGAAUGUGUGAAUUGGCAAGACAAAAACAAAUGCAAAUGAUAAGCUUUCACUUUAUAAUGCAACCUUAAUCUGCAAUUAACCAAUUAAUCUGCAAAUCACAUGCGUGCUGAACAACACCUGGUCCGUACGGAUCGCGGAUCGACUAUGAUCUGUUCUACCCCUAGCACUUUGCAUGUUUAAUAACUGCUUUGCCGAAGCUGUCAAAUCCAUAAACGAAAGAUGCCUUUAAAUGAUUUUUGCCACUCAUCUCACAAGGCCGUUCUCAUUGGCAGGCCUUGUGCGGUGCGUUAGUCAGAUGGGGUGCUUUCAUUACAGUACCUUGCCCUCCGUCUCCCCGCAGAGGCCUUGUGCUGUUUUUCUUAAGCAGCACCAGUGUUCGGAGUGGGAAAACCAAGCCGAUUUUCAUGUGCAAAUGUCAGUCAGUCAGCUUCCAGCAAUCACAGCCUAGACUCCUCCCGAGGCCCUGCAUGAGACGACGGCUGAAUAAUUUAGCAGCUCGGUGUCACUGCGCUCUGGGGUCACAACCUUCUAAAGUGAUGACAGAGAGUGCUCCCCAAGUCCCUCCCAUUCACUUCCAUUACCACUUAUUUACCGCCCCCGAAUCCAGGCAGACAAAGCUCAAAGCCUCACGGGGGAUGGAAAUCAGCCGCACAGUCCAAACAGUGUCAUAACACAUAAAAAAAUAAAUACACAACAACAUUUUCACAAAGAAUCCCUCAAGAGGCCCGUACACAUCUGUCCGUGUUUCACACACACACACACAAUAGCUGGAUUGAGACCCAGACUCACCUCUUCAAAGAAAAAAGAGUAGAAUUCUUGACAAUGAAAUGAACUUUGCCUUAAUUGCAGUAAAAACGCUAAAAAAGAGCCGAUUAAAAAAAAAAAAAAAGAGUUGUCAUGGUGGGGAGGGUUCAGCUUUGAGGGAGGGAGAGGGCAGACGAAGGGAAGGAUUGAUUUCUCCAGUGCUGCAGACACAUUCUACCUUUCUAUCAGUCACAUUGAGACAUUGUGUCAUUCUGCGUGAGGACUCAUCUUUCUUCUCAGCUCCAGAUGUGACAGGAACAUGACAGGGGUGCGUGGUCUGUGGGUGAGGCAACCACACACACACACACAAACAAACACACGUUCACAAAGAUCUUCUGAGGAAAUUCUGAGACCUGACAAACCCUCUUUACAAUAAUAUUAUAUUUUUUAUUAGUUGGAGAAAAUAUUUUGGAAAUUUAAAAGGGGAUCUAUUCUUUUUACAAGAUGUAAUAUAAGUCUCAGGUGUCCCCAGAAUGUGUCUGUGAAGUUUCAGCUCAAAAUUCCCCAUAGAUUAUUUAUUAUACAAUGUUGUAAAUGCCCAUUUUGAGUUGAAGGAAAAACGCUGUUUUCAUGCAUGUGUCUUUAAAUGCUAAUGAACUGCUACUCCCCGCCCCUAUCCAGAAUAGCACUGUGCCUGUGCCUUGGAUACUGUGCCAAAAACGAACCAACGAUCUGUUUGGUGUUCACGCUCAAGCUCACGCUUAUUAAGGGAUCUAAACUGGCCGGCCCAAAGGAAGACAUCGCCCUCAGAUCACUUGGACGUGGCUGUGGUUACAAGAGGUGGUGACCAUAGACCUCCAUUAUAUGACUGACGGACAAGAA